GCCAGCGUAGCUCAAUCGGCAGAGCAACGGAUUUGUAAUCCGUAGGUUGCCAGUUCAAUUCUGGCCGCUGGCU
rnacentral:tRNA from 2 species